GCAGAGAGAGCAGUUGAAACAAGUGGUUGUAUGGUCUCAUGGCAACUUCCUAGGAGUGCACUCAAAAUGAUUUUAUCUUGUCUGUUCCAUACCAUAAAGGCAGGAUUGGGUACAUUAUCUUUUAAAAAUUGCGCCGGAAUUUCGACUGUCCCAUCGAUGUAGCUUAUCACUCCAAGACCAAUUAGAGUUGAUUUCACCUGUGUGCUCCAUACAGGGAAAUUGUUUUGAGUUAAUUUCGUUGGUAAAUGUGUAGGGGCAUUGAGAUGAAUGAUUUCUGUGUCUGAGGUAACAGUUUGGGUUGAGGAAGCCAUUGAAAAAUUGUUUGAGAUUAAGAUGGUUCAGAAUGUAAAGAUUGUUUAGUUUCACUCUUGACUCAUUUAAGCAUGUAAACAACUUGUUGCUUCCUUAUUUGCUAGUUUGAAGUUGGAAACAACUUGUAGCUUCAUUCCAGACUCGUUUGAAGUUGAAAACAACUUGUAGCUUCAUUUUCGGUUGUUUAAAAUUAGAAUGAACUCGUAGUUUUAUUCUUGAAUCGNGGGAGCCAUAAGGGCGUCCUGGAGAUGAUUGAUUCCAAGAUGAAUUUGUACGAGGAGUAAAUGAUGAGUUUGAAUACAUACCUCGUGAAUUAUGAUUAACUUUCUGUGUGAAGUUUGCAGUCACAACAGUAGGCUCAGGAACUUUAUUUUUCAGGCCUCGUUCAUGGUCAACAAGUUGUUCGUGAAGAGCAGCAAAUGUCAUAGGUGCCUCACGUACUUUGAUGGCUGAUCGAAUGUUACUGUAUUCAUCACUGAGACCAUUUAGAGUCAAUAGUACGAGAUCGUCGUCCGCCAUUGGAUGACCUGCAAUGGCAAGGUCAUCAGCUGUUGUGCGUAUAUCUCUGAGAUACUCUGAGAUGGGCCUGGAGCCACAUGGGUUUGAAAGGAGAUGACUUUUGAGAGACAUUACUCGUGACCUUGAUUUGUUUGCGAACAUGAUAACAAUUCGCUCCCACAUUUCUUUGGCAGAGAGAGCAGUUGAAACAAGUGGUUGUAUGGUCUCAUGGCAACUUCCUAGGAGUGCACUCAAAAUGAUUUUAUCUUGUCUGUUCCAUACCAUAAAGGCAGGAUUGGGUACAUUAUCUUUUAAAAAUUGCGCCGGAAUUUCGACUGUCCCAUCGAUGUAGCUUAUCACUCCAAGACCAAUUAGAGUUGAUUUCACCUGUGUGCUCCAUACAGGGAAAUUGUUUUGAGUUAAUUUCGUUGGUAAAUGUGUAGGGGCAUUGAGAUGAAUGAUUUCUGUGUCUGAGGUAACAGUUUGGGUUGAGGAAGCCAUUGAAAAAUUGUUUGAGAUUAAGAUGGUUCAGAAUGUAAAGAUUGUUUGUUUGCGGAUCUAGUGGUUGUUAAACCGAUAAUGGCUCUGAUACCAUAACACGAUUUUACCAACUGAGAUUUCAGU
rnacentral:lncRNA from 1 species